rnacentral:rRNA from 1 species
UGGGGAAUAUUGCACAAUGGGCGCAAGCCUGAUGCAGCCAUGCCGCGUGUAUGAAGAAGGCCUUCGGGUUGUAAAGUACUUUCAGCGGGGAGGAAGGCGAUGUGGUUAAUAACCGCGUCGAUUGACGUUACCCGCAGAAGAAGCACCGGCUAACUCCGUGCCAGCAGCCGCGGUAAUACGGAGGGUGCAAGCGUUAAUCGGAAUUACUGGGCGUAGAGCGCACGCAGGCGGUCUGUCAAGUCGGAUGUGAAAUCCCCGGGCUCAACCUGGGAACUGCAUCCGAAACUGGCAGGCUUGAGUCUCGUAGAGGGGGGUAGAAUUCCAGGUGUAGCGGUGAAAUGCGUAGAGAUCUGGAGGAAUACCGGUGGCGAAGGCGGCCCCCUGGACGAAGACUGACGCUCAGGUGCGAAAGCGUGGGGAGCAAACA